UACGUAGGGUGCAAGCGUUGUCCGGAAUUAUUGGGCGUAAAGAGCUUGUAGGCGGUUUGUCGCGUCUGCUGUGAAAUUUCGGGGCUCAACCCCGAACUUGCAGUGGGUACGGGCAGACUAGAGUGUGGUAGGGGAGGCUGGAAUUCCUGGUGUAGCGGUGAAAUGCGCAGAUAUCAGGAGGAACACCGAUGGCGAAGGCAGGUCUCUGGGCCAUAACUGACGCUGAGAGGCGAAAGCAUGGGGAGCGAACAGG
rnacentral:rRNA from 1 species